rnacentral:lncRNA from 1 species
ACCUUAGGCUCCCUUGGAUGGGUUCUGCCCCUGCUCUGGAGCAGCUCGUAGCCAGGGAUGACAUCGAUGUUUCUACACUUCUCUCCGCAGGUAGGGCUGACGAGACGUAUGUGUGUGUGGAGUCCUCUUUUUCCAGCAGGUUGUCCCUUGGACUAGCCCUACAUCCAGGCGGUGGGGAUGCCGUCCCUGCUGAGCAGGUAGGAGCCAGCCUGGCACCACGGAGCACUCUUCCAAGGUGGCUUGGGCCAGCUGUGCCAGAGGCGGGAGGCAAUGGGACCUGGGGCUGCCAAUUUCUGGGCUGGCCCCUGAGCUGUUUUCACCUUGCCCUGGGGUUUACACGAGACCUUGUGCCUUUGCCCCAUGGCUCGACCACCUCUCUGGUGCUCAGGGCACUGCAGGCUUCUGUCUAGUUAAUUUUUUUAAGGGGCUUUUGAAAGAUGGUGGAUGUUGAAGUGGGGCCCUGCUCUGAUGUGCUGAGGGGCGUGAGCAGGGCUCCCCGAGCCCAAGAGCCGCUGGUGUGUGUGUGCUGCCUGCAGAGAGGCUCCUCCACGGGCUGGGCUGUGGGGGCGACCACCCUAUGCAUCCCACUUACACCCUGCCCUCACCAGGCUGUUGGUCAUCAGCUGUCCCAGCGGCUGGAGCGUCUGCAGAAUGAGCUGGAGCCGAUCAAGGCUAUGCUUGAAACCAUUGCACGGAUGGUCUCCUCCAUGUGGGCUCAGCUCAGAGCAGCAGGUACGUUCCCUCACCGGGGUGCCCCCUCACCCCUGGGCAGGCUGCAGGGAUGCUCCGGUGAUCCCUUGCCAGUGUAACCCAGGGCUGCGAGGUGGAAGGGACACGGCUGGUGGCCUUCCCCGUGGGGCUGGUGUUGAGCGCCGGGAGCAGGGGUGCUUUGAUGCUGCCGCUGCUGCUCCCCAGGAAUCCUUCCAGAAGAUGCAGGAGUGGAGGAGAGCGGAGAUGCCAGAGAGCCUGACAAGCUGGCACGUGGGGGUGGACUCACAAGGGCCACUCGUCCGUCUGCUGUGCCAGAUACUUGUGGGGCUCUUGAAUGAAUGAAUCUUUGCAUCCCUUAUAUUUGAAAUAAAGGUGUCCUUUUCUCCA